rnacentral:lncRNA from 1 species
CUUGGAAGAGUCCUGCGGCGGUGGCGGCGGCUGCUGCUGCUGAUGCGGCUGUGGAUGCGGCGGCGGCUGAUGCGGUGGCGGGAUCGGAGGCUUAGGGCCGCUCUGGCCCGGGCCAGGACCCAUGGGGCCGCGAUUCUGAUUGAGGCCCAUGCCGGGCGGCGGAGAACGGAAGUCGUGGAGGCCGCCGCGGCCGCCGCCUCCUCCACGCCUGUGGAAGCCACCACCGCCACCGCCACGACUCCGGAACCGAUCCCGAGACAUGUCUGUGGUCAAGGGGCGGUCGAGGCAAAAGCGAAGAAGACGCUCAGGAAACGUGGAGGCCACCUUGCUUCUCACAAAAUGGCGGAUGACACAGGCGGCGCGCCGCCUUUGUCCUCGUCUUAUAUAGGCCAGCUGGCACGGCCCCGCCUACUCCACGAUCGACAGCUCCAAUAGCCAAUUGCAAUUACUAUGCUUGAUGACACUAAGUUGCGAACCUCUGAUCAUUCCUAUUGGCCCCUGGGUGAGAGGCGGGAGGCAUGGGGGGACUGAAGUUUCCAGUUGGCCAGUGAGCGAAGAAGGCGUUGGCUGUAGGCCACUAUGAUUUGCUAGGAGAAAUUUGAAUGGGUAUGCCAGGGCAAUUUUCACUUGCGAGCAAAUAACCAGGGCUCUAUCCGCUCCUGCAGAGAAGCGUUGGAGGUCUCUUUUCUUUCUUGAUUGUCCCUAGGAGCAAUCUACUGAUAUCCUUGCCCAGAAAAACAGAUGUUUUCCGAUUCAAAAUCAGAAAUUGAGUGCCUGCUGUCUACCCUACCUCGUGCCAACUCAAUGAAAGUAGAGAAGUAAAAUCUUACCGAUUUCAAACAUACGCAGUCUUAACUGAUUUCAUUAUGGAACCUCAUAGGAAUACAGAUUUAUUGUAGCAGCAUAAACUUUUCAAUAGGCUUCUGUGGGUGCGCGCUUUGUUCAAAAAGAGCCCUUGUGUGUAUGUGUGUAUAUAUACACGUUUACAAACACCAAUCACAGGAGGAAUGUAAAUAUUCCACUCAACACUUUACGAACAGACUAAGGUACUUUUAAAAAAUUACAAUGUUAGGCUGGGCACUGUGGCUCACGCCUGUAAUCCUAGCACUUUGGGACACCGAGUCGGGCAGAUCACC